GUGUUUAUGCUGCAGCAAUGCAAACUUCUUGUUUUUCCUACUUCAGAUCAGUGUGAAGCAGAAGGCAAGUGUCUGGACAUUUACAUCUCAGAAGCUUCAGGAAAUAGCUGGUAUCACAUGCAGGUGAUUGGAUAAAGAUCAGCUUGGCCAAAGAUAAACAACGAUGUGGACAAGGUACCAUCUCCAGUGCAACCUCUGUGCAUUUAUUGGCUGCAGAGCUGUUCUUAGAUGUUCUGUGUACUAAUUGCUGAAACCUCCUCUUCACCUCCUUCUGCUCUUCGUUUCACAGAACUUCUGCAAGAGAGGAAUUGG